GACGAACGCUGGCGGCGUGCUUAACACAUGCAAGUCGAACGGUGAAGCGCCUUCCUUUUUGGUGGGUGUGGAUGAGUGGCGAACGGGUGAGUAACACGUGAGUAACCUGCCCCCUUCUUCUGGAUAACCGCAUGAAAGUGUGGCUAAUACGGGAUAUUCUGGGUCUGUCGCAUGAUGGGUCUGGGAAAGAUAUUGUUUCGGUGGGGGAUGGGCUCGCGGCCUAUCAGCUUGUUGGUGGGGUGAUGGCCUACCAAGGCGGUGACGGGUAGCCGGCCUGAGGGGGUGGACGGUCACACUGGGACUGAGACACGGCCCAGACUCCUACGGGAGGCAGCAGUGGGGAAUAUUGCACAAUGGGCGCAAGCCUGAUGCAGCGACGCCGCGUGAGGGAUGGAGGCCUUCGGGUUGUGAACCUCUUUCGCCAGUGAAGCAGGCCUGCCUCGUUUGUGGGUGGGUUGACGGUAGCUGGAUAAGAAGCGUCGGCUAACUACGUG
rnacentral:rRNA from 1 species